CAUCUUGUGGCAGCGGGCUGUGCCGCUCGCCGUGUGUUCGCCGAGGCCGGUGCUGCUGCCGGCCCGGCCUGGCCCGCCUCGCCGGGGGAUGGAACGUGCCCAAGGCCUCUCCGCACUGUGGGCUCCGCUCCGACCCUACGUUCUUCAGUAAGUUGAUUUAUCUCAGAGAAGUGGAAAGGUUUUUGUGUCCCUACUGGAUCCAUCCAGCACCCAGUCCUGGACAUAGCUUUGUAAGGAGUGAUACUUUAAAACCCAGCUACCUGAAAUUGAACUGCUGGAUGCUGGAAGAACAUGGGUGUCUCAUCUCACUGACGUCAAAGACUUCAAAGAGUACAGAGGUUGGAGUUUGAAGGCAUUGUUUACGAUAUGGAGU